UUUUGGUUGUAAAGCACUUUAAGCGAGGAGGAGGCUACUUGGAUUAAUACUCUAGGAUAGUGGACGUUACUCGCAGAAUAAGCACCGGCUAACUCUGUGCCAGCAGCCGCGGUAAUACAGAGGGUGCGAGCGUUAAUCGGAUUUACUGGGCGUAAAGCGUGCGUAGGCGGCUUUUUAAGUCGGAUGUGAAAUCCCUGAGCUUAACUUAGGAAUUGCAUUCGAUACUGGGAAGCUAGAGUAUGGGAGAGGAUGGUAGAAUUCCAGGUGUAGCGGUGAAAUGCGUAGAGAUCUGGAGGAAUACCGAUGGCGAAGGCAGCCAUCUGGCCUAAUACUGACGCUGAGGUACGAAAGCAUGGGGAGCAAACAGGAUUAGAUACCCUGGUAGUCCAUGCCGUAAACGAUGUCUACUAGCCGUUGGGGCCUUUGAGGCUUUAGUGGCGCAGCUAACGCGAUAAGUAGACCGCCUGGGGA
rnacentral:rRNA from 1 species